UACGUAGGGCGCAAGCGUUAUCCGGAAUUAUUGGGCGUAAAGAGCUCGUAGGCGGUUUGUCGCGUCUGCCGUGAAAGCCCUGGGCUCAACCUGGGAACUGCAGUGGAUACUGGCCAGCUAGAGUGUGAUAGAGGAUGGUGGAAUUCCCGGUGUAGCGGUGAAAUGCGUAGAGAUCGGGAGGAACACCAGUGGCGAAGGCGGCCAUCUGGAUCAACACUGACGCUGAGGCACGAAAGCGUGGGGAGCAAACAGG
rnacentral:rRNA from 1 species